AGCCUGACGGAGCAACGCCGCGUGAGUGAUGACGGCCUUCGGGUUGUAAAACUCUGUGAUCCGGGACGAAAAGGCAGAGUGCGAAGAACAAACUGCAUUGACGGUACCGGAAAAGCAAGCCACGGCUAACUACGUGCCAGCAGCCGCGGUAAUACGUAGGUGGCAAGCGUUGUCCGGAAUUAUUGGGCGUAAAGCGCGCGCAGGCGGCUUCCCAAGUCCCUCUUAAAAGUGCGGGGCUUAACCCCGUGACGGGAAGGAAACUGGGAAGCUGGAGUAUCGGAGAGGAAAGUGGAAUUCCUAGUGUAGCGGUGAAAUGCGUAGAGAUUAGGAAGAACACCGGUGGCGAAGGCGACUUUCUGGACGAAAACUGACGCUGAGGCGCGAAAGCGUGGGGAGCAAACAGGAUUGGAUACCCUGGUAGUCCACGCCGUAAACGAUGGAUACUAGGUGUAGGAGGUAUCGACCCCUCCUGUGCCGGAGUUAACGCAAUAAGUAUCCCGCCUGGGGAAGUACGAUCGCAAGAUUAAAACUCAAAGGAAUUGACGGGGGGCCCGCACAAGCGGUGGAGUAUGUGGUUUAAUUCGACGCACGCGAAGAACCU
rnacentral:rRNA from 1 species